rnacentral:snRNA from 1 species
AUACCUUUCUCGGCCUUUUGGCUAAGAUCAAGUGUAGUAUCUGUUCUUAUUAGUUUAAUAUCUGAUACGUGGGCUAUCGGCUCACAUGAUAUUAACUCAAUUUGUUUAGGGGGAAGGCUCAUUAAAGUAGCUUGCUACUAGGGUGUUAAAUUGUCGCCUUGGUAUUGCACUAUUACCUUGGCCUGGCAAACCUCAC